rnacentral:rRNA from 1 species
CAGCAGUGAGGAAUAUUGGUCAAUGGCCUAACGGCUGAACCAGCAACUUGGAGGAAUGUAUAGCAAUAGCUACUUGCAUCAUUGUAAAAAAUGAUGCAGGAUCGACUAUGUCGAAUAAAAUUCUAGGUAGAAUUUUGAUAAUGACAUUGUCUGCCUAUGUGUCUUGACCAAAUUACGUGCCAGCAGUCGCGGUAAUACGUAGAAGACUAGUGUUAUUCAUGUUUAAUCGGUUUAAAGGGUACCUAGACGGUAAAUCAAGCCUAAAAUUAAAUGAAGGGACUAAUUUACUAGAGUUACUUAUGAGGGGGUAUUAAAGUACUGCUGGUGUAGAGAUGAAAUUCUGUCAUACCUCUUUUCUAUAGAAAAAUAAUGGCACAGGUAUAGGCGAAAGCAUCCCCUUAUGUGAUAACUGACGUUGAGGGACGAAGGCUUUGUGUAGCGAACAGGAUUAGAUACCCCAGUAGUCAAAGCAGAAAAUGAUGAAUGUCAUAGAUUAGAUAAAUAAGUUUAUUCUAUAAAUGAAAGUGUAAGCAUUCCACCUCAAGAGUAAUUUGGCAACAUUGGAACUGAAAUCAUUAGACCGUUUCUGAAACCAGUAGUGAAGUAUGUUAUUUAAUUCGAUGAUCCGC